rnacentral:rRNA from 1 species
GAACUGCGAAUGGCUCAUUAAAUCAGUUAUCGUUUAUUUGAUAGUACCUUACUACUUGGAUAACCGUGGUAAUUCUAGAGCUAAUACAUGCUAAAAACCCCAACUUCGGAAGGGGUGUAUUUAUUAGAUAAAAAACCAAUGCCCUUCGGGGCUCCUUGGUGAUUCAUGAUAACUUAACGGAUCGCAUGGCCUUGCGCCGGCGACGGUUCAUUCAAAUUUCUGCCCUAUCAACUUUCGAUUGUAGGGUAUUGGCCUACAAUGGUUUCAACGGGUAACGGGGAGUUAGGGCUCGACUCCGGAGAGGGAGCCUGAGAAACGGCUACCACAUCCAAGGAAGGCAGCAGGCGCGCAAAUUACCCAAUCCCGACACGGGGAGGUAGUGACAAUAAAUACUGAUACAGGGCUCUUUUGGGUCUUGUAAUUGGAAUGAGUACAAUUUAAAUACCUUAACGAGGAACAAUUGGAGGGCAAGUCUGGUGCCAGCAGCCGCGGUAAUUCCAGCUCCAAUAGCGUAUAUUAAAGUUGUUGCAGUUAAAAAGCUCGUAGUUGAACCUUGGGCCUGGCUGGCCGGUCCGCCUCACCGCGUGCACUGGUCCGGCCGGGCCUUUCCUUCUGGAGAGCCGCAUGCCCUUCACUGGGUGGUGUCGGGGAACCAGGACUUUUACUUUGAAAAAAUUAGAGUGUUCAAAGCAGGCCUUUGCUCGAAUACGUUAGCAUGGAAUAAUAGAAUAGGACGUGCGGUCCUAUUUUGUUGGUUUCUAGGACCGCCGUAAUGAUUAAUAGGGAUAGUCGGGGGCAUCAGUAUUCAAUUGUCAGAGGUGAAAUUCUUGGAUUUAUUGAAGACUAACUACUGCGAAAGCAUUUGCCAAGGAAGUUUCCUUAAUCCGGGAACGAAAGUUAGGGGAUCGAAGACGAUCAGAUACCGUCGUAGUCUUAACCGUAAACUAUGCCGACUAGGGAUCGGGCGAUGUUAUUAUUUUGACUCGCUCGGCACCUUACGAGAAAUCAAAGUUUUGGGUCG